GUACACUCCUGCGGGAGGCAGCAGUGGGGAAUAUUGGACAAUGGGCGCAAGCCUGAUCCAGCCAUGCCGCGUGAGUGAUGAAGGCCCUAGGGUUGUAAAGCUCUUUCACCGGUGAAGAUAAUGACGGUAACCGGAGAAGAAGCCCCGGCUAACUUCGUGCCAGCAGCCGCGGUAAUACGAAGGGGGCUAGCGUUGUUCGGAUUUACUGGGCGUAAAGCGCACGUAGGCGGACUAUUAAGUCAGGGGUGAAAUCCCGGGGCUCAACCCCGGAACUGCCUUUGAUACUGGUAGUCUUGAGUUCGAGAGAGGUGAGUGGAAUUCCGAGUGUAGAGGUGAAAUUCGUAGAUAUUCGGAGGAACACCAGUGGCGAAGGCGGCUCACUGGCUCGAUACUGACGCUGAGGUGCGAAAGCGUGGGGAGCAAACAGGAUUAGAAACCCGAGUAGUCCCAUGA
rnacentral:rRNA from 1 species